GUGCAGCCUUGGGUUGAUCCAUUGGGACCAUGUGACCAGCAUUGUGAACCUUUAGGAAGCUUAGGGGGCCAUGGGUUUUCAAAACACCAGCUUCUGCUCCAUCUACCGUGAAUGAUUUCUCAGGCGAUGACACAAAAUCUUGCUUACCAGACCACUCCAUUGAGUGAACCCAUCUCGAGUUUCCAAGCCAGUUGCAUAUGAGAUCAUGUUCCCCAGCAUACACGAGAAGCUUGAUGCCAUCUUCAAGAAGAGCAGGAAUGCCAACUUCCAAAUUCCUCAUCCAAUCUGUAAGCAUCGCCUCAUACACAGAUGGGCUGCACGAUACGAAUUCUAUAUCGCCCACUCCAAGGGAAUCCUUCACGGACUUCAUUUUAAGAAAUUUCUCCAUGU
rnacentral:misc_RNA from 1 species